rnacentral:lncRNA from 1 species
UUAUUUUGAAAGCAUUUUUAUGCUUACAAACAUGGUAAAAUAAUACAGUAACAAUUCCUGUAAACUCCACUUCCAACAAUAACAUGAAUCUUUUCAUUUUUGAAAAAAAGAAUAAUUAUUUGCAGAGGACACCUACAAUUUUGAAUUGUUUUUGAUGCAUGAAUUUUUUAUGAGCAAAUUUCUCAGAGGAAAGCCGCAGCUGAAACUUUUUUGUUGAUUGUGCCAUAAUACUAUCAACACUUUUAAAACUAAUAUAGUACCAUUUUACAUUCACCAGG